AGUGACCACCUUGCCACCCCACCGAACUGCUGUGGGACUGUCCCACCUGAUUCCCUGUCGGCCCACCCACGUUGUGAUUUGGUGGAUAGUUGAAAAGUGACACAGCUUAGGUCAGGGCUCGUUUCAGGUACCUGUCAGAAGGUGCAGGGACACGAAUCACCAUCACACUGAGUCACCCGGUGAUUUUUGAGCAUCCAGCGUAUCCAUUCUCAGCCGUGUCCGCUGCUGUAGUCCGGGUUAACGAAGACCUCGGGAACAGCGCAGCUGCAGCGCAACCGCAACACUGCCUGCGCAAGACUUACAGCAGCCGCUCCGCCUUCCUCGGUCUAUAUAAUACUUAUCGAGCCUGUUUCCAACUAAAAAGCUCUGUAAAACCAAAAAGGAAAGGCGAACGUUGUUCUGCAUCGGUAAAGUGCCCAUCCCGAAGACAGAAAUGGUGUGACUAUUAAUCAAUGCCGGCUCCUACGUGGCCAGGAAGAUCGCAAACUUCCUUUCCGAGAAGGAGCCGUCGGAUCCGGAGAAGCGAAGCGCCAUGGCGCCGUGCAGGACAGACAGAGCCAAGUGCAGCUUCGGCACCGACACGAAGGCACGGCGUUCCGUUCCGGCUGCGGGGACGGCAAGCGGCAUGUUGGAUUCUGAAACUGAUGGUGCCUCUCCUGCAACUGGCCCCGGGGAGAUGAAAGUGAGAUCGUAACGUCAAGUGGAGGAGUCGUCCCAGAAAUCUACCUUUGUGGGAUUAAUAAAGUUAAUCAUCUUACUAAAGGGAGCAGAAGAAAACUGAAUGUCCAAUGUUCCAUAGUGGAAGUGUGUGCUAUAAUGGUUUAAUGGGCUAUAAUGGUUUAUUCUCCAGUGUAACAGCAAUCUGUUCCCCAUCACAGCCAGUUGAGACGAUAUGGAUGUACAACUCCACCCAAAAAGAAAAAUGUUGCUUUUUUCUUGCUAUCGCUCCUCCUCCCAUGAAAAUGUGAUGCCUAUAGUCUGCUUCAGGGCCGCAGUAAAUGAUAGCUUGCUCACCACCCCCUCCAUCCAGGGGCUGAACAUGGCUUGAUUCCUGUGCUGUAGCCCAUCCAAUAAAGUGAGCCUCUUUCACGAUU